rnacentral:tRNA from 1 species
AUAGGAUUGGUUCGUGAGUUGACUUCUAAUCAAAUCUCAUUUUGGUUCGAUUCCAGAUUGUUCCUAUU